rnacentral:rRNA from 1 species
CGGAGAGUUUGAUCCUGGCUCAGGAUGAACGCUGGCGGCGUGCCUAAUACAUGCAAGUCGAACGAGGCGCUUUUGUAGCAAUACGAGAGUGUCCUAGUGGCGAACGGGUGAGUAACGCGUUGGUGACCUGCCCCAAAGUGUGGGAUAACAGUCCGAAAGGAUUGCUAAUACCGCAUGUGGUCCCCGGAUCUAGAAACCGGUGACUAAAGCCGCAAGGCGCUUUGGGAGGGACCUGCGUCCCAUCAGCUAGUUGGUGAGGUAACGGCCCACCAAGGCUACGACGGGUAGGGGACCUGAGAGGGUGGCCCCCCACAAUGGAACUGAAACACGGUCCAUACACCUACGGGUGGCAGCAGUAGGGAAUAUUGCACAAUGGGCGAAAGCCUGAUGCAGCAACGCCGCGUGAGCGAUGAAGGCCUUCGGGUCGUAAAGCUCUUUUCUGGGAGAUGAGAAAGGACAGUAUCCCAGGAAUAAGUCUCGGCUAACUACGUGCCAGCAGCCGCGGUAACACGUAGGAGGCGAGCGUUAUCCGGAUUCACUGGGCGUAAAGCGCGUGCAGGCGGUUCGGUAAGUUGGGCGUGAAAUCUCCCGGCUCAACUGGGAGAGGUCGUCCAAUACUACCGAACUUGAGAGCGAUAGAGGAAAAUGGAAUUCCCGGUGUAGUGGUGAAAUGCGUAGAUAUCGGGAGGAACACCAGUGGCGAAAGCGAUUUUCUGGAUCGUUUCUGACGCUCAGACGCGAAAGCUAGGGUAGCAAACGGGAUUAGAGACCCCGGUAGUCCUAGCUGUAAACGAUGUGAACUUGGCGUUGGUGGCUUAAACUCCAUCAGUGCCGAAGCUAACGCGAUAAGUUCACCGCCUGGGGACUACGGCCGCAAGGUUAAAACUCAAAGGAAUUGACGGGGGCC